AUUGAACGCUGGCGGCAGGCCUAACACAUGCAAGUCGAGCGGAUGAAGGGAGCUUGCUCCUGGAUUCAGCGGCGGACGGGUGAGUAAUGCCUAGGAAUCUGCCUGGUAGUGGGGGAUAACGUCCGGAAACGGGCGCUAAUACCGCAUACGUCCUGAGGGAGAAAGUGGGGGAUCUUCGGACCUCACGCUAUCAGAUGAGCCUAGGUCGGAUUAGCUAGUUGGUGGGGUAAAGGCCUACCAAGGCGACGAUCCGUAACUGGUCUGAGAGGAUGAUCAGUCACACUGGAACUGAGACACGGUCCAGACUCCUACGGGAGGCAGCAGUGGGGAAUAUUGGACAAUGGGCGAAAGCCUGAUCCAGCCAUGCCGCGUGUGUGAAGAAGGUCUUCGGAUUGUAAAGCACUUUAAGUUGGGAGGAAGGGCAGUAAGUUAAUACCUUGCUGUUUUGACGUUACCAACAGAGUAAGCUCCGGCUAACUUCGUG
rnacentral:rRNA from 1 species